UGGGGAAUAUUGGACAAUGGGCGCAAGCCUGAUCCAGCCAUGCCGCGUGAGUGAUGAAGGCCUUAGGGUUGUAAAGCUCUUUCGGCGGGGACGAUAAUGACGGUACCCGCAGAAGAAGCCCCGGCUAACUUCGUGCCAGCAGCCGCGGUAAUACGAAGGGGGCAAGCGUUGCUCGGAAUCACUGGGCGUAAAGGGCGCGUAGGCGGACGUUUAAGUCAGGGGUGAAAGCCCGAGGCUCAACCUCGGAACUGCCUUUGAUACUGGACGUCUCGAGACCGGAAGAGGUAAGUGGAACUGCGAGUGUAGAGGUGAAAUUCGUAGAUAUUCGCAAGAACACCAGUGGCGAAGGCGGCUUACUGGUCCGGUUCUGACGCUGAGGCGCGAAAGCGUGGGGAGCAAACAGG
rnacentral:rRNA from 1 species